rnacentral:rRNA from 1 species
UACGAAGGGGGCUAGCGUUGCUCGGAAUCACUGGGCGUAAAGGGUGCGUAGGCGGGUUUGUAAGUCAGGGGUGAAAUCCUGGAGCUCAACUCCAGAACUGCCUUUGAUACUGAAAAUCUUGAGUCCGGGAGAGGUGAGUGGAACUGCGAGUGUAGAGGUGAAAUUCGUAGAUAUUCGCAAGAACACCAGUGGCGAAGGCGGCUCACUGGCCCGGUACUGACGCUGAGGCACGAAAGCGUGGGGAGCAAACAGG